rnacentral:tmRNA from 1 species
UUGUGUUUUUCAAUAAAGAUGAUAAGGUUGGUUUGGGCAGGUUUCGGUCAGGGCUAAUUCGAAAAUUAAUCGAAACCUAAACUUGUAGAAAGCUUUUUGAUCGCUUGUUUGGACGCGGGUUCGACUCCCGCCGACUCCACUU